AUAAUGAUACUUCCGUCUAUUCUUUGAAGGGGCGGCUCGGAGCGAUCCUCGGAGGGGUGAGAGUCCCAUGA
rnacentral:ncRNA from 2 species